AAAAAGGAAUCACCACUUCUACAUCAACGUUUUGACCCUUCAGCGUCUUUAUCAAGAUCUUGAUCAAGACCCUGAAGGGUUGAAACGUUGAUGUAGAGGUGGUGAUUGCUUUUU